CAGCAGUCUAGGCAGGUCUAGGCAGAGGGAACAGAAUGAACCAGAACAUUGAAAUAGCAUGAAUUGACUUGUCAAUUUCCAAGGACAGCGACCAGGCUCCUGUUCCCAGGCUUGGAGUGAAGUGGUUAGAGUCAGGGUCUGCUCUCCCAAAGCCUAAGCUGUGGCAGCAUGGCCUCAUUUGCUGUAAGAUAUCUAUGGACUGUGGUUAGGGAUGAAGAUCACAAAGGAUCACAUUAAAACGACCUCUAGUUUCUCACUGAAAACGCCUGAUGCAGUUGGACGAUGCAGAUAUGUCUUCAAAGUUCCAAAAGAUGGUGGAAUUUGAAAAUUUGAAUACCCAUGUUAACUGGACAAAAUCAGGUGGAAAAAAAUUGACUAUGCAUGGCUGGAGUGUGUCUGGUGUGUGGAAUUGUGAUCGUGCAGCAGAGAGUGCCCUGGACAUAAGACUUUUGAUUUUCUCCAGAAGCUGAUGUGUACCACAUCUGCUAAUCGGCUCCAAGUCUGCUUCUAAGGAAAAGCUCAGCUACUUCAUGUUUCUCCCAUGUAAUUCUGGGCUGAUUAACAAGGAAAGAGACAAGAAAGAAGGGAG